GAUAAAGUGGCUGAUUUAAAGCGUUAAAUUGUAAAUUUAUUUAUGAGUGUACUCUCCUUUAUUA
rnacentral:tRNA from 2 species